CCUACGGGAGGCUGCAGUGAGGAAUAUUGGUCAAUGGACGAGAGUCUGAACCAGCCAAGUAGCGUGAAGGAUGACUGCCCUAUGGGUUGUAAACUUCUGUUAUAAAGGAAUAAAACGAGGCACGUGUGCCUUUUUGCAUGUACUUUAUGAAUAAGGAUCGGCGAACUCCGUGCCAGCAGCCGCGGUAAUACGGAGGAUCCGAGAGUUAUCCGGAUUUAUUGGGUUUAAAGGGAGCGUAGAUGGGUUGUUAAGUCAGUUGUGAAAGUUUGCGGCUCAACCAUAAAAUUGCAAUUGAUACUGGCAUUCUUGAGUACAGUUGCGCUCGGCGUAAUUCGUGUUGUAGCG
rnacentral:rRNA from 1 species